rnacentral:miRNA from 1 species
UUUGUUUACCAUUUUCCCCAACUUUUUAUUUAUAUAUAUAUUUACAUAUAUAUUUAUAUAUAUAUUUAUAUAUAUAAAUAUAUAUGUAAAUAUAUAUAUAAAUAAAAAGUUGGGGAAAAUGGUAAACAAA